GUAGUUGGGUGAGAAUCCCGACCACCGUAUGGGCAAGGUUUUCCUGGCAACGCGUCGUCGACCAGGAGUUAGCCGAUCCUAAGUGUAACCCCAAAGGAGUUACGCGAAAAGGGAAACCGGUUAAUAUUCCGGUGCCCUAGAGAUUCCGUGCACUUUGUGCAGAUUUAGCUUCGCUUUCUUCGAGAUAGGGUGAACAAGGUUGUCGCCUUGUUUAAUUGUUCGAGAUUGGGGGAGUGUCGUAAUGACGAGAACCCAUUCGAGGCGAGAAUAGCCGGCCGCAUGGUUGGUUCACUUGACUCUGGGAGACAUUGAAAACGGAGUUAUUGAGGAAUCUUUAGGUUCGUACCCAGAACCGACACAGGUGCCCUAGUUGAGUAGACUUCGGUGUAUCGGGUAUAUAGUAGGCGAGGGAAUUCGGCAAAUUAGCCCCGUACCUUCGGUAUAAGGGGUGCCUGCUAUUUUUGUGAGAAACAGGGAUAGCAGGUCGCAGUGACAAGGGGGUCCCGACUGUUUAAUAAAAACACAGGAAGCUGCUAGCCCGAAAGGGUGUGUAUAGCUUUUGAAUCCUGGCCAGCAACGGUACCUAAAACCUGGGUUCAACUGGGCUAAGGGCCGUUUAGCGCCGGGAGUAACUCUGACUCUCUUAAGGUAGCCAAAUGCCUUGUCNNNNNNNNNNACGUGCAUGAAUAGAACAACGAGGGCCCUACUGUCCCCGUCUACUACCCGGCGAACCCACGUAACGUGGACGAACAGUCCACGAACUUCUAUCGGGAAGAGAAGACCCUGUGGAGCUUUACUGCAGCUUGUUGUUGUGAUACGACUAUGAUUGCAGAGUGUAGCUGGGAGCUGUUAUGCACAUACUUUUGGGUAUGUGAUAGACAAAAGUGUAACACCAGCCUCUCAUAGUUUUAUCGCUAACCGGGAAACCGGGACACCGGCAGGUGGGCAGUUUGGCUGGGGCGGCACCCCCUUGAAAAAAUAUCGAG
rnacentral:rRNA from 1 species